rnacentral:misc_RNA from 1 species
GUCCUUUAGAAGAGAAUUUAAGGUCUAACCUGCCCACUGAUUAUUUUAACGGCCGCAGUAUUUUGACUGUGCAAAGGUAGCAUAAUCAUUAGUUUUUUAAUUGAAAGCUUGUAUGAAUGGUUGGACGAGAUAUAAUCUGUCUUUAAAUUAUAAUUAGAAUUUAAUUUUUAAGUUAAAAAGCUUAAAUAAUAUUAAAAGACGAGAAGACCCUAUAGAUCUUUAUAAAUAUAGUGGUUUAAUUUUUAAGGAUUAAUAAUUUUUAUACUAUUAUAUUUAUUUAAUUGGGGUAAUAAAAAGAUUUAAAAAAUUCUUUUUAUUUUAAACAUUGAUAAAUGAUUUAAAUGAUCCAUUAUUAUUGAUUAUAAGAUUAAGUUACCUUAGGGAUAACAGCGUAAUUUUUUUUGAGAGUUCUUAUCGAUAAAAAAGUUUGCGACCUCGAUGUUGGAUUAAAAUUAAUUUUGGGUGUAGAAGUUCAAAGUUUUAGUCUGUUCGACUAUUAAAAUUUUACAUGAUCUGAGUUCAAACCGGUGUAAGCCAGGUUGGUUUCUAUCUUUAAUUAAUUAAUAUAUUUUAGUACGAAAGGACCAAAUAUUUAAUAUGUAAUAUUUUUAAAUUUGAAUGAAAUUAUUACUUUGGCAGACUAGUGUGGUAAAUUUAGAAUUUAUUUAUGUAAAUUUUUUACAAGUA